GCCUCCCUAGCUCAGUCGGUAGAGCGCAAGACUCUUAAUCUUGUGGUCGCCGGUUCGAGCCCGGCGGGAGGUG
rnacentral:tRNA from 1 species